rnacentral:lncRNA from 1 species
GUGGGGGUGGCUGGGAAGUGGGGGGCAGAGGGGCCAGUCAUUAAAUACUUGAGCCUCUCUUGGAGGGGGCGGCAGAGGCUGUGAUAGGCCUGGAUAAACAGAAGGAGACAGGCAUCUAGAAGACUCUGGCCUCCCACCUCCUCUGCCCUCAGAGGAAUUUCCUUGGAGGACAAAAAUGUGCAUAUCAUCACUCCCUGCAUGCCAGGAGCCGGGCUGGGCCUGGGCUCAGGUAUGCCUGCGCCAACACCCACCUGCUGCCCGGGCCCUGACCUCCCUGCUGGUCCAGUGGCAUCUUGGUGGCUGCCCUAGUCCUUGGUCCCUGCUCCGGGCGGUGGCCCCAAUAGUCCAUAAAGGGCAGAGAACAGCGGGAGGUGUGAGGGGCCCGGGGCUAUGUUCUGAGCUGCCUCAGGACCCUGGCUUCCCUCCUGGAACAUGGGGGUGGGGGUCAGAAUUCAAGCCCAGGGAGGUCUGAGGAAGACCCCAGGGCUGGAGCUGAGCCACAGGCCGUGGUGCAGGGGAAGAGCCCCAGGCCACAAGAGGAGUGGGGUUGCAGGUGCCUGCCCUUUCUCUGGCCCUGUUUCUUCACCUGUGAAAUGUGGGGCUCAGUGCUUCUGAGUCUCCAGGAUUCUGCUCCCCCAGUUCUUCCAAACUGAGAACUUGGAGAUGAGCGGAAUAGGAGCCCGAACGAUUUCAGAGACUUCGCGUCCUCUGCCCUGUGCCAGGGGACAAGGGGUCAGGGAAGGAGCGAGCUGUUUGCAUCCAGGCAGAGAUCAAACAGCCAGCGAGUCGGAGGGAGGCCUAGGCCAGUGACACAUGGAUUCCGGAUGGGCCGGCC